rnacentral:rRNA from 1 species
AUUGAACGCUGGCGGCAUGCCUUACACAUGCAAGUCGAACGGCAGCACGGGUGCUUGCACCUGGUGGCGAGUGGCGAACGGGUGAGUAAUACAUCGGAACAUGUCCUGUAGUGGGGGAUAGCCCGGCGAAAGCCGGAUUAAUACCGCAUACGAUCCACGGAUGAAAGCGGGGGACCUUCGGGCCUCGCGCUAUAGGGUUGGCCGAUGGCUGAUUAGCUAGUUGGUGGGGUAAAGGCCUACCAAGGCGACGAUCAGUAGCUGGUCUGAGGGGACGACCAGCCACACUGGGACUGAGACACGGCCCAGACUCCUACGGGAGGCAGCAGUGGGGAAUUUUGGACAAUGGGCGAAAGCCUGAUCCAGCAAUGCCGCGUGUGUGAAGAAGGCCUUCGGGUUGUAAAGCACUUUUGUCCGGAAAGAAAUCCUUGACUCUAAUACAGUCGGGGGAUGACGGUACCGGAAGAAUAAGCACCGGCUAACUACGU